UACGAAGGGGGCUAGCGUUGCUCGGAAUCACUGGGCGUAAAGGGCGCGUAGGCGGAUCUUUAAGUCGGGGGUGAAAGCCUGAGGCUCAACCUCAGAAUUGCCUUCGAUACUGGAGAUCUUGAGACCGGAAGAGGUAAGUGGAACUGCGAGUGUAGAGGUGAAAUUCGUAGAUAUUCGCAAGAACACCAGUGGCGAAGGCGGCUUACUGGUCCGGUUCUGACGCUGAGGCGCGAAAGCGUGGGGAGCGAACAGG
rnacentral:rRNA from 1 species